GAUGAACGCUGGCGGCGUGCUUAACACAUGCAAGUCGAACGGGAUCGGCUGGAGCUUGCUCCGGCCGUGAGAGUGGCGAACGGGUGAGUAAUGCGUGACCGACCUGCCCCAUACACCGGAAUAGCUCCUGGAAACGGGUGGUAAUGCCGGAUGCUCCGACAUGACGCAUGUCGUGUUGGGAAAGAUUCAUCGGUAUGGGAUGGGGUCGCGUCCUAUCAGGUAGUCGGCGGGGUAACGGCCCACCGAGCCUACGACGGGUAGCCGGCCUGAGAGGGCGACCGGCCACAUUGGGACUGAGAUACGGCCCAGACUCCUACGGGAGGCAGCAGUGGGGAAUAUUGCACAAUGGGCGCAAGCCUGAUGCAGCGACGCCGCGUGCGGGAUGACGGCCUUCGGGUUGUAAACCGCUUUUGACUGGGAGCAAGCCCUUCGGGGUGAGUGUACCUUUCGAAUAAGCACCGGCUA
rnacentral:rRNA from 1 species